UACGUAGGGUGCGAGCGUUGUCCGGAAUUACUGGGCGUAAAGAGUUCGUAGGCGGUUCGUCGCGUUGUUCGUGAAAACUCACAGCUCAACUGUGGGCGUGCGGGCGAUACGGGCAGACUUGAGUACUGCAGGGGAGACUGGAAUUCCUGGUGUAGCGGUGGAAUGCGCAGAUAUCAGGAGGAACACCGGUGGCGAAGGCGGGUCUCUGGGCAGUAACUGACGCUGAGGAGCGAAAGCGUGGGGAGCGAACAGG
rnacentral:rRNA from 1 species